rnacentral:rRNA from 1 species
ACUCCUGCGGGAGGCAGCAGUGGGGAAUAUUGGACAAUGGGCGCAAGCCUGAUCCAGCCAUGCCGCGUGAGUGAUGAAGGCCCUAGGGUUGUAAAGCUCUUUCACCGGUGAAGAUAAUGACGGUAACCGGAGAAGAAGCCCCGGCUAACUUCGUGCCAGCAGCCGCGGUAAUACGAAGGGGGCUAGCGUUGUUCGGAUUUACUGGGCGUAAAGCGCACGUAGGCGGACUAUUAAGUCAGGGGUGAAAUCCCGGGGCUCAACCCCGGAACUGCCUUUGAUACUGGUAGUCUUGAGUUCGAGAGAGGUGAGUGGAAUUCCGAGUGUAGAGGUGAAAUUCGUAGAUAUUCGGAGGAACACCAGUGGCGAAGGCGGCUCACUGGCUCGAUACUGACGCUGAGGUGCGAAAGCGUGGGGAGCAAACAGGAUUAGAUACCCCAGUAGUCCCAU